rnacentral:rRNA from 1 species
GACGAACGCUGGCGGCGUGCUUAACACAUGCAAGUCGAACGGAAAGGCCCUGCUUUUGUGGGGUGCUCGAGUGGCGAACGGGUGAGUAACACGUGAGUAACCUGCCCUUGACUUUGGGAUAACUUCAGGAAACUGGGGCUAAUACCGGAUAGGAGCUCCUGCUGCAUGGUGGGGGUCGGAAAGUUUCGGCGGUUGGGGAUGGACUCGCGGCUUAUCAGCUUGUUGGUGGGGUAGUGGCUUACCAAGGCUUUGACGGGUAGCCGGCCUGAGAGGGUGACCGGCCGCAUUGGGACUGAGAUACGGCCCAGACUCCUACGGGAGGCAGCAGUGGGGAAUAUUGCACAAUGGGCGGAAGCCUGAUGCAGCAACGCCGCGUGCGGGAUGACGGCCUUCGGGUUGUAAACCGCUUUCGCCUGUGACGAAGCGUGAGUGACGGUAAUGGGUAAAGAAGCACCGGCUAACUACGUG